GAGGACCGGGAUGGACAUAUCUCUGGUGGACCUGUUGUCCUGCCAAGGGCAUAGCAGGGUAGCUAUAUAUGGACGGGAUAACCGCUGAAGGCAUCUAAGCGGGAAACCCACCUGAAAACGAGUGUUCCCUAUCAGAGCCGUGGAAGACGACCACGUUGAUAGGCCGGGUGUGGAAGUGCGGCAACGCAUGAAGCUUACCGGUACUAAUAGCUCGAUCGGCUUGAUCGU
rnacentral:rRNA from 1 species